AUGUUGGAACUUCUUAAAUGUAAUCAGUGUGAAACAGCCUUCAGCCAAAAUCCACUUAUUCUGGUUUGCAAGAAAACUCACACUCAAGAGAAACUGUAUAAAUGCAAUGAUUGUGGAAAAGGCUUACUUUCCUCCUCACACCUUAGGGAAUGUAAAUGUAUAAGAAUUCAUGUGGAGAGAGACCUUAUGUUUUUAAGGAGCAUGGGAAAGCCUUUUCUCAUUCUGUAGGCCUUUUUGUACACAUGCAAACUCAAAGAGGAGAAAAACCCUAUGAAUGUCAGAAAAGUGGGAAAGCUGUCACUCCAUCUUCAUAUCUUACUCCACAUUUAAGAGCUCACAGUAGAAUGAUGCCUAUGGAAUGUCAGAAGUUUGAGAAAGCUUUUGCUUAUUCCUAAGGUCUUGCUAAACAUGUAAGACUUAACAAUAGAGGGAAACACUAUGUUUGCAAGGAAUGUAGCAAAGAGUUUGUUUCUCAAAACUUAACAUUCACAUGCAAGUUCACACUGGAGAAAAACCAUAUGAGUGUCAUAUAAAUGUGGAAAAGCCUUCACUGAUUGUUCGGGUCUUAUAAAACAGAGGUGAACUCGCACUGGAGAAAAGCCUUAUGAAUGUAAGGAAUGUAAAAAAGCCUUUGCCAGCUCCUCCCAUCUUACUAUACAUAUGAGAACUCAUACUGGCGAGAAGCCUUAUCAAUGUAAGGAAUGUGGAAAAGCCUUUAGUAAUUCCUCUUGCUUUAAAAGUCACAUGCAGACUCACCCUGGUGUAAAACCCUAUGACUGUAAGCAGUGUGGGAAAGCCUUUAUUCAAUCCUCAUUUUUUUUUUUUUUUUUUUUU